UCAUGCCUACAACAUAGCGUUAAUGCACCGGAUCCCAUUAGAACUCCAUAGUUAAGCAUGCUCGGGCUAGAGUAGUACUGGGAUGGGUGACUACUCGAGAAGUUCUAGUAUUUUACAUGCC
rnacentral:rRNA from 1 species